UACGAAGGGUGCUAGCGUUGCUCGGAAUCACUGGGCGUAAAGGGUUCGUAGGCGGCUCUUUAAGUCAGGGGUGAAAUCCUGGAGCUCAACUCCAGAACUGCCUUUGAUACUGAGGAUCUUGAGUUCGGGAGAGGUGAGUGGAACUGCGAGUGUAGAGGUGAAAUUCGUAGAUAUUCGCAAGAACACCAGUGGCGAAGGCGGCUCACUGGCCCGAUACUGACGCUGAGGCACGAAAGCGUGGGGAGCAAACAGG
rnacentral:rRNA from 1 species